rnacentral:rRNA from 1 species
GUUCACUACCGGCAACUGGGAUCACGGUGCAGAGUACCUAGCGUGAGUCAGCAGUGGAGCAGUAUGGACUAUGGUGAAUGCAUGCAACUAGUCCAUCCCGCCAUGGGUGAAGGACAGGUAUGACGGAUCGUAUAGGCACUUUAAAGUGGUGAGGACAGGGCAGUAAAGCCGUAUACACUGGUAGUUAGACGAUAUCUGCCUGAAUAAGCACGAUCUACUUACUGCGCCAGCAGCCGCGGUGGUACUGAGGGGGCUACCGGUAAUCUCAGUUUCUGGGGGUAUAGCGCGGGUAGUUGGUUGUCUAAUAAGUAAGUGAAAUACGCGGGCUCAUCAUGGGACGCGCAUCCAAAACUGGCGAGCUAGAGUAAUGCAGAGGAAGUGGGAAUAUCAUGUCUAGCGGUGAAGAAAGUAGAUAUAGGAUGGAACACCUGUGGCGAAGAAGACCACUCGGGCUCAUAGUGACACUGAGGUGCGAAAGCGUGGGGAGCAAACAGGAUUAGAUACCCUGGUAGUUAGUCGCACGUAAACGAUGUCAAAUAGCUCGUUGGAAUCCUUGAGAUUUUAAGGGCGCAAGUAACGCAUUAAAUUGACCCCCUGGGGAGUACGGCCGCAAGGUUAAAAAUCAAAAGAAUUGACGGGGGGCCGCCCAAGCGGUGGAGCAUGUGGUUUAAUUUGAAGCAACGCGAAGAACCUUUCCAGGCCUUGACAUCCAAUGAAAUUUCCAGAGAUGGGAUCAUUCCUUCGGGACCAGUAAGUCAGGUGUUCCAUGGCGUUGUUCAGUUGGUGUCGUGGGAUGUUGGGUUAAUUCCGCUAACGAGGCCAACCCUUGUCUUUAGUUACCAGCACUUUAUGGUGGGCAUUUUAACGGGACUGCCGGUGACAAACCGGAGGAAGGGGGGGAGGAGGUCAAGUCUUCAUGGCCCUUACUGCGGGGGUUACACACGUGUUCCAAUGGUCGGUACAGAGGGUCGCCAAGCCGCGAGGUGGAGUAAUUCUCACAAAACCGUUCCUAGUCCGGAUGGCAUUUUGCAAUUGGCCUGCGUGAAGUGGGAAUCGUUGGUAAUCGCGAACCAGAAGACGCC